UGUGUCCAACACUGGGGCUGGUCAGGCCCAAGCCAGGAACCCCGGGAUGCAAGGGCCUCAGUUGCUGUCUGUCAGAGUGCGCCUUGGCGGUGCUGGGCUGGACCCCCUGCACAAACCUGGGAUGCUGGUGUCCCAGGGGAGCUGCAGCAAAAGCCAGGCCACUUCACCCCGCCCCUUUCCUGUGUGUCUGCACUUCCCUAGUGGAAGUUGCUAGUUGCCUGCCUGCUGUUUGUGGUCCUUAUUGGCUGAUAAAAGGAACCAUACAGACUUUUGACUGGCACUGAGUACAUCGUUGGAAGGAAAAACUGUGCUAUUCUAAUUGAAGAUGAUCAGUCAAUCAGUCGAAAUCAUGCAGUGUUAACCGCUAAUUUUGCUGUGACCAACUUGAGUCAAACUGAUGAAAUCCCUGUAUUGACAAUCAAAGAUACUUCUAAAUAUGGUACCUUUGUUAAUGAGGCAAAAAUGCAAAAUCACCUUCCCCAAACUUUGAAGACAGGGGAUAGAGUCACCUUUGGAGUGUUUGAAAGUAAAUUCAGGGUAGAGUAUGAGCCUUUGGUUGCCUGUUCUUCUUGUUUAGAUGUGUCUGGGAAAACUGCUCUAAAUCAAGCUGUGUUGCAACUUGGAGGACUCACUGUGAACAGCUGGACAAAAGAAUGUACUCACCUUGUCAUGAUGUCAGUGAAAGUCACCAUGAAAACGAUUUGUGCACUCAUUUGUGGAUGCCCCAUUGUAAAGCCAGAGUAUUUUACUGAAUUUCUCCAAGCAGUUCAGUCCAAGAAACAGCCUCCACAAAUAGAAAGGUAUAUUAUGUGUUUCUAAUUAACAACAUAUGACAGAAAAGAUGAGCGCAUUGACUUUCGGUUAACUCUCUGGAAUUC